rnacentral:sRNA from 1 species
UGACGGGUCCCUGAUCAACCAGCUGGCGCUGCUGCUCCUGGGCAGGAGCGACUCGCUCUACCCGGCCCCAGGGUACGCUGCCGGUGUGCACAGUGUGCUGAGUUCUCAGUUCCUGGCCCUGUGUACGCUGAAACCCUCCCUGGUGGUGGAGCUGGCAAGAGACCUGCUGGAGUUCCUGGGCAGCGUGAAUGGUCUCUGCAGCAGGGCGAGCCUCGUCACCAGCGUGGUGUCCCCCCCAGGUGGUCACCGUGCUGAUGACCACGCUGACGAAGCUGGCCUCCCGGAGCCAAGAUCUGAUCCCCAGGGCCUCUUUAUUGCUGUCAAAGAUGAGGACCCUGGCUCACAGUCCAGCCACCAGCUCCACGCACAGCGAGGAGGGCGCAGAAGCCAUCCGUACCCGGGCCACAGAGCUGCUGACCCUGCUGAAGAUGCCCAGCGUGGCCCAGUUUGUGCUCACACCCAGCACGGAGGUGUGCAGCCCCCGCUAUCACCGCGAUGCCAACACGGCCCUGCCCCUGGCCCUGCGCACGGUCAGCCGGCUGGUGGAGAGGGAGGCCGGCUUCAUGCCAGGGUGAAGGGACAGUGGCCAGGGACUUCGGUGCAGAUUAAGAGCCUGGGGCGGCCAGCUUGCUACUGAGGCCAGGCUGAUAGGAGCUCAGGAGGCAAGGCCCACGGUGGGCUUGGCACCCUCAGAGACACGCGGGGCUGGCCCCCCUGCUCACCCUCUGGGCUUUGUCUCCGAGCCUUUUGCUCCCAGGCAACACUGAGCUGAGCUGAGGGGAACCAUGGAGCAGCUCUGAUUGGAGGCUUGAGGCCCUGUGGCUGGGUGGAGGCUGCUGGGUCUGUUUCCUAGUCUUUUGUUUUUGGACAGUUGAUGGGCAAGAAGAGC